GAUGAACGCUGGCGGCGUGCCUAAUACAUGCAAGUCGAGCGAACGGACGAGAAGCUUGCUUCUCUGAUGUUAGCGGCGGACGGGUGAGUAACACGUGGAUAACCUACCUAUAAGACUGGGAUAACUUCGGGAAACCGGAGCUAAUACCGGAUAAUAUUUUGAACCGCAUGGUUCAAAAGUGAAAGACGGUCUUGCUGUCACUUAUAGAUGGAUCCGCGCUGCAUUAGCUAGUUGGUAAGGUAACGGCUUACCAAGGCAACGAUGCAUAGCCGACCUGAGAGGGUGAUCGGCCACACUGGAACUGAGACACGGUCCAGACUCCUACGGGAGGCAGCAGUAGGGAAUCUUCCGCAAUGGGCGAAAGCCUGACGGAGCAACGCCGCGUGAGUGAUGAAGGUCUUCGGAUCGUAAAACUCUGUUAUUAGGGAAGAACAUAUGUGUAAGUAACUGUGCACAUCUUGACGGUACCUAAUCAGAAAGCCACGUCUAACUACGUG
rnacentral:rRNA from 1 species